GUCAGUGCUGGAUGUGAAGAUGGGGCACACUUUGCUCUGUGUGCUGGGGUUAUUCUUGCUGAAUACACUCCUCUCUGGACAUGCUGAAGCACAAACACCAAAGGCCCAACUGAGAGCUGAUGACAGAGAC